rnacentral:lncRNA from 1 species
UUUCUUUAUUUCUUUUUUUCCCAAAUAAACCUUCAUUCUUAUACGUAUAAUUAAAAUAUCAACUGAAUAAACAAAGUCUGUGAUUACUAGUACAACAUUUUCAUUUUCAAGCGGAGCUAGAUAAGAUAUCGAUGUCUGUCAAAUAAACCUAAUUUAAUCUUGAAACCAUAAACUGCACUAAGCAUAGCAGCAAAGCCAGAGCCUGACUAUAAAGAAGAUAAUAUAUAUAUAUAUAUAGAGAUUAAACUUUUGUUUUAUCUUCCACAAGCAAGAAAUUCGACUGGAACAUGAAAUUUUUAACAAUCUUACAAACAUUAUACACAAAUCUCAAUUAACGGCAAAUAGGGGGAUGAAUCACUGACAUCACCCAAUUCAUAUAUUCAAUUAAUGUAUUCCCACCCCAGUCAGCAACGUGCUACCACAGUUGAUUAGUUAUUAGGGAUAAGGCUUACCGCAAAGAACUGAAUGGCGUUAUCUAAAUAAUGAGUUGAAACGGCAUCUGCAAUCGCAUUAAAUGGCAUUGAACCGAAAGGUAGGGUUUAAAUGAAUGUUGGCCUGAGACAAAAGGGCGUGGCAUAUUGGGGUCUUAUGGCUUCGUUUUGUUUCAAUUGACGGAGGGAAGCUGAGCGAAAGCUUUGAUAUGUAAAUUUCAGCUUAAUUUAAGCUAGGGUCUUCUUUCGAUUGAAACAGAAAAAGAUUUUGGGUUAUUAAAGUGAAAGAGAUGGAAUAAUACAAAAAAUUAGCAAAGUGAAAGCGAGGGAAUACAAGAUUUAUUAUGGGUCCUAAGAGCUGAAGGCAAUUCGCCAUGGUUCUGAUAUACGGAAAACUUUCUUAGCUUUAUCGGUGGUGGAAGUGAGGGUUAGGGCUAGGGUUCUACACAAUGUCGUUGAGAAUGGCUCAAAGUUCAUUGAUUUUAGGUUGCGGCGAGAGAGGGGUUUAUUCAACACUUGUCGAUAUUUGGCUGAAGUGUUGGUAUGUUUUAAGUUUCAUAAAAACGACGUCGUUAAUUUAAACGUCAUCAUUUUAAGAUAUUAUAAAUCCACAAAACUUGAGCAUCACUUAUAUCUAUAAUUUAUUUAUGUUAGUUAAGUUAUAAGUUAUGAAUAUGUCAUAAACUCUAAACAUAUGAAUAUAUGCCACACCAAUAAAGUGUUGGCUCCAUUAGCAAUGGAGUCCCCUUAAGUGGCUUGAUUGGGUUUGCUCCUCAGUUCUAGUUGCAGGGAAGUCGCCUUUGUUGAGAGAACUUGUGCCUCCCGGUUCGAGCGGGGACUUCUAAUAUGGGUUGUGGUACGGGCUUAAAAGUGUCUCCCACAAUUGGGGCCCUCCUCAAAAUACCUCGUGGUUAAGACAAAAUAUAUAUAUAUAUAUAUGUCACAAAUCUAUCACACUUUCAUGAUACAUUUGUGACGUAUCGAAGGUUCAUGUCAUUCCUCCGGUGCAACAUUCGAAAUAAGGCCAUUGCCCUUGUGAAAUUUGCAUUACUUCUAUUGAAAAUCUACAUAAUAAGAGCUCUCCCGUUGCAUUUUUCGUUGUUUUGCUUUUGCUUUACUUUAAUGUGUCGCUACAUGAACAAGUAUAUUGCAACAUAUGUACCAUCAAUUUUGCUAUGUCUUAUUCCCAAUUUUAUAUAAUACAAAUCAUUUUGAAAUUAUAAUAACAACAACGGGGUCAAGCACAUUUUGUGUCUUGAAGAUUUGCGAGGGCUCCAUCCUACAAAGUUAAAUUAUUAUUGUUGUUGUUGUUAUUAUUAUUAUUAUUAUUAUUGAUGACGAUGAUGUGCUGUUGAUGUUUUUAUUAUUUGAGAGAUGGUAGAAUAAAGUUAUUCAUUUUGGAGCUUAACAGUGGAAAAUAAGGAAAACAAGAAAAAAGUUGUAUUCGUGUUAAUUUCCUUUGUCAUUUCUUGUUUCUAGAAAUAUUUUUGCUUCGUUUAUUCUAUUUUAUUUGCUUAUUUCAUUGGGCUUGCUUCACAUAUCAUAUCUAUCUUUCUUUCAAAAUUUGAAGGGAAGGAAAGUACUUAGAAAAUGCUCUUGCCUAUGAACAUGUAAGAAAAACUGAAUAUCAUUCAUCGGAUAACAAAAAACACUAAUCAGCGCAUAAUCCCUAGAACAAAUAAUUAAACCAUCAAAUGUUAGCUAUGAACAACUAUAUAUCCUAUCAUAUUUAACUUCUAUUUAUGGUCAUAUCCCUAACAUAUUUAGAGUGGUUUUGGAAUUUUGAUUACAUCUGAGCUUUCUCAAAAGCAGAUGCUGUGAAAUGAAGUUACUAUUUGCUUUUCAAAACUGUUAAUAAUGAUAGUAGUUUAGAAACUUGAACCACCACCUACGUGAGUCUGUGAAUUUCACCUUUUUGUUUGAUAAUUGGAGGUUUUCGUUUAAUGCCUAAAUUCGUAAACUGUGGAAACGUUUGAAAGCAUCUAUAGCAUAUUCAUUAAAAUCACGUUUUCACAAACCAAAAAGGGUACUAAUUUGGUCUCGAUGUGUGAAAAGUAACACCUACCUAGCCAUCCAUCAGGUAAGUGAAUAAGUAUAAAAAUAUUAAUAUUUUCUCUGUAGUUCCUAUUAAAAUUGUCUAUUAUAGUUGCAGAAUGUCUAGGAAGUAUAAAAGGAUGUCGUUCAAACAUGAUUAAGAUAGAAAGGGAAAAAAUAAGUAAUUAUCCAUGGACCACUUCAUCUUUUAGCCUUUAUAAAAAACAUACAAACAUUUUUUAUUGUUUUCAACAAUCCAUCUAAUAUUUACAAACUGCAUCACAGCUCCACUACUAUCAUAACCCUUUAAAAAUGUUGCUUAAUCACGAGAACCUAUUACUUGUAAAUUAUUUUUCAAGCAAAUGCAACAAUAGAUCUAGUUUUGAUCUGGGUGACUUUUAAGUGUACAGAAACGAGGAGAACGACCUUAUGUCAAGUUGAAGGAUUAAGAUAAAUCAAUUACAAAUCCAAACAAAACUUAUGAGUGACAUUUUAGUAUUAAGCAAACCUACCAUAAUUAAUCAUCCAGUGAUAGGUUUGUUUUCAAUUAGAGUAAUGAUAGAUAUCUCAAAAUAUUUUAUCCCAAAUGGUGUGUCAUUACUUGAAUAGUAGGUAAUUCUUUCAAGAUUUGAGUGAAUUAAUUGUAUUAUCUCUUCAAUCUAUUGAUAAAUACCAUAUCAUUUGAGAUAAUUUUUUAAGAUAAAAGAUUUAGGAUGUGUGGCACUACUCAUUAAUUAUGCAACUUAAAUGCAAUUUUUUUAAAACCAUUUAUUUUCAUUAAAUUUUGAGCCAUUAAUGAAAUAAAUAUAAGUAAAGCUAUUUGAACCUACUCAUUUUCUCACUACAUCAUUUAUUUAAUCAAAUUAAAAUUUAAUUUUAAAAUAUAAUUCAUUAAAUUAUUUGUUUGACUUUGUUCUCUCUCUCUCUCUCUCCCUUCCUCUCUCAUUCUCUCCAACCAUUUUUUUUUUGUUUACAUAGACUAAAUAUUUCAAUUAACAAAUAAAAUUGUUAUAAAGAAUAACAAAUUUAACCAUAGACACCAAUAUUAAUUAAUAAACAAAAAAAUUGAAGAGUGAUAGAAUUAAAGUCUGUUAUACCACAAUUUGCUUUACUUUUAUAUUUUUAUUUUAGUGCGGAUAUGAUGUAGACAUUAUUUUAGGAUUUUAUAAUUUUUAUUAUUUUAUCGUUUUCUAUUUUAAUUAUAGUCAACUAUGGUAUAUGUCUUAGUUUUUUUAUUUCUAUUAAAAUUGUGAUUUAGUUUUUCUUUUUAAGUUAACUUAGUGAAGUAGGUUUAUUAUAUUAUAAAUCAAAAUCUUAUUAUUGUAACUUCAACUAUUGAUCAACUAAUAAAGCCCUUUUUAAUAAUUCCCUCUAAAAUUAUUUAUUAAAAUCUCUCUUGCAAAGUUAUUUAGAUUAAAACGUCGUCUAAUCUCGCUUUAUGCGUUAUUAAAAUCUCAUUGAGCCAUUGUUAGAAUGAGAUCUACUCACGUUUCGAUUAGGACGUAAACUAUCCACAUUACCUUAGCCAGUAUUAGAACAAUAGCUAAUAUUUCCGACCUAUCAAUUCCACUUCCGCUAUUCCAAUUUGUUAGUUUGUAUUAGAGUGGUUCAAUGCCAAUUGCACAGUUUUCCUGGCUACCCAUAUCCAUCCCCACCAAAUCCAUCAUUGUUUAUGCAACAAAAAAAUAUUACAAAAUUACAAAACCUUAGCAGCCGCCCACCGCCAUUUCCACUCUCCACUAAUAGUUCAUCAUUGGCUAAUCCAUCUACCAAACUCAUUAGCCACUACUGACCAAACCUUAGCCACUCCUGCCAUCAAUCGCCGCUUGUACCUACUAUAAAUCAUCUAGACCUAAAAAUUGGGAGCAUCCACCAGCUGCCACCGUGAAACCAACCAUCUUCACUGUCAACCAACACCACCACUAAACUUGCUAGAUUCCACUGGUCAUAACUUGACAAAACCCACCAAUGAUCACCGCCAUAAAUCGCCACAACGCUAACCCAAAACCCGGGCUUCACCUAGCACCACCGCAAACGCCACUUUCUCAUUGUCGAUAUCCAAAUCGCAAUUGAAAUCUCUAACAUGAAUGAAGCACCACAUAUGCCAAUUCAAGUCAACUUUUUGACCAAACCACCGUGAAUCCAGCCAAUCCUCGGCCAUUGUCGAGUUUCUCACGACCAUAUCUAGCAAAUCUAACCACUAAGGUCACCAGCCCCAGCGAAAGAAACUCUAAAGGAUAACUUUAAUCUUAGGUGUUCAAGUAAAAUGGUAAUUUUAAUCUUAUGACAUCAACAAGAUUCUAACGAGCUAAGAUGACAGUGAAUAAUUAAUAAACUCUAGGUGGAUUUCUACAAAGAAAAACGUUUCUGUGUAUUUUUAAAAAAGACCCAAAGACUACAUGGUUAGUGGAUAAUUUCCUUUUUUGUUCUUAUUUUCUACUAUUAUUAACAAUAAAAGUUUUUCAAUAGUAAUUGUUCCAACCAUUAUAACAAUUAUUAUUGUUAUUGCUGUUGUUGUUGUUGUUGUACAACAAUUGUGAAAUUCUAUCUACACAACCCAGGAGGGCGGUGAAUUGGCUAUUAAAAUUAUACUUACAAAAAUACAAAACAAAUUAAACAAAUGCUUUAAGAAAUUUAUAAUAGCAAAAUUAAACAAUGAAUGCAAUUAAAAAAAUAAAGGAGAAGAUAACAAACAAACGAAUUUUUAUGUGUUUCGACAAAACUCGCCUAUGUUUAUGCCGCCGAGCAAACUAAGUUUGAGGAUUCCACUAUCCAAACCUUCUCAGGCUCCAAGAUUUUACAAUUGACUUUUAAUGUGUCAAUAAACUUUUAUAGUAGUAAUGUGUACACAUACCUCUUUCCCCAAGUGUUUCCCACACUUAUACUCAUAAAAUUUUGAUAUUUAAUUGAAGAUUACAAAGAUUAAUCUCUAUAAGAGUGUAUAAGCAAAUGAUAACUCAAUAAUGAUUUAAUGCAUGUAGAUAAGUAAAAUGAAAGCUCAAGAUUAGUUGUAUGAACAAGUUUUAACUUAAUUGGGAUUGAAAAAGUUGUUAGAUUUGAGUUUGAUUUGGGUUCUUCUAGUUUAAACAAUCAAACUAGUCAUAAUUGACUUUUUGAGGACCCACUGGAUUGCUGCUAAAAUAAAGAAGUUAGUUGCUAUAUUGAUGUGGCAAGUUACCGUUACAAAUAAAAUUUAAAAACUUUUUUGCCUAAGCAAAUCGUCGCCUGAUUUAAAUGGUUAGCAGCUAUGUUUUUGGACCUGAAGCAGUUAGCCACUAUUCGUUAAGUGGUUAGUCGCUACUGUUUCAAAAUUUAUAGAUUUAAACUAAAAGUUCCUAAAAUUAUACUAUGGCCUAAAAUUUUGAAAUAUUUACAAAUAGGUCCACUUCAAGAAUUUAAUACAUUACUAAUUAAUUUCAAAGUUCUCAAAACUUUUCAGUCCAUAAAUUUGAAAACAAUUAAUUUUAUAAAAUCAUUUUUACUUACGUUUAAAACUUUUAUAUUAUAGAAAAUGAUGAUUUAAUUUGAAAAUUGUAUGAAAAAAUAUCUUGAACUCUUAAAUACUAAAUCAUGCAUAAAUUAAAUCAUAUUAGCUUUACAAGAAAUAUAACUAUGAAGAUUGCUUAAGCUAGUACCUUUAGUAUUCAUCCUUGAUUGUUGUUGUCUAUUGAGUGACUUGAAAUUGAUCUCACUUGAAUGAUUUUUGUCCUUCAAGAACUUGUCAGAUUGUGAGAAAUAAAUUUAUCAUUUUACCUUAUGUGGUUUGUUAUCAUCAAAAUUAAGGAUCAUAUAGCCGUUUACCCCAACAAUCUCUCCUUUUUUUAUGAUGACAAACACCCUAUGUAUUUUGACAUUUCUAUUGCCCCUGAGUAUAUGACAUAAUUCAAAAAAUAUAACCAAAUAUAUAAACUCACUCCCUCUAAGUACAUGAUCCAUAUAAUUGUACAACAUUUGUAAACUCUCCUUGAGUGACUCAGAAAGUAACUAAAAUACUACAAACACUCAAUCAACCCCCAUGAGCCAAAAACAUGUCAAAACACUUCAAAAUACAUGUCAAUAUCUUCUCCCCCUUCAUCAUGAAAAAUCACUCCUCUAUUAUACAAAUAUUAUCAAUAAUUAUCCCCUACAAAGAUCAUCAAUCGAAAAUCCACACAUGACCAUUAAUCAAGUAUCCAUAUACAUAAUCCAUAAUCAAUAAAGAUAAUCCAUAAAGAUAAUUAAUAAAGAUACCACAAUCAAUAACUAGAAUGCAUAAAGAUAAUCCAUAUCAACUCAAGUAUCUAUAAUGCAUAAGUAAAAUAAAAUCCAUCAAGUAUCCAUAAUGCUAAAAACGAAAAUGCAUAUGAUAAAUAAUGUCGGUGCAUAAAACAAGGAAGCAAAAGAGAUAAAAGAAAAUCACUGAUGAGGCAGCAAACAUGAUAAUAAGGAUGGUGGCGAAAAUUUGAGAGCAAUGAAAAUAAGCUGGUGAUGGUCUAGAAUUUGUUGUUGUUGAAGAAAGAGACGCUGCUGCUCAGAAAGAAAAUGAUCCUGGAAUGCUGCGAACGAUAUCUUAAGUUCGUUUUACUGUUCGGAUAUGGAACGCACUUUAUUCAACAACUGCUGGAUUGGGUUAUUGGGAAUGGCUGAAGAUGAUGAUGGUGGAGCAUCAGAAGGCCAAUGUAGAGCUUGUGACCUCAGGGAAGAACUAAGAUCAAGAACCCAGUAAGGGGAAGCACAUCGUUAAAGAUGCAAUGAUAAAAAAGAGCCAGCUUUGUGGGUUUUCUCAACAAGUUCUAAUUUUUAACCUAUUGGUCAUCUACCCACCCAAAUCCUAAGCUAGCAAUGACCUCAUCCCUUAACUCCUUGGGUUCAUCAUGAGAUGGUUCAGCUAUAGGGACCCAAAAAUAUUGAAGGAUAUGGGUAAUGACACUACCAACCGAAAAGGAUAGGUUUCCUAUACUCAGUGUAUUAAGCAUGUGCUGAAUGAUAAUAUUCUCACAUUUAGCUUUUACCCUCAAGGAUGCUAUCUAAUAAAGUAACAUCUAAGCGUGUAACCUCAGCACCAUGUCCCUUGUGAGGACUGAUCACAAGCUGAAGGACAUUAUGUAGGAUCCGAACUUGAAGAGGCAACACUUGUGAUCUAAGAGAGGAGUUAAAAAGCUCCAUGGAUAGAUCAGAUCACCUACAUAUGUUUCGAACAUCUAUGUUUCAAAUAUCAUCUACAACUAAAUACCAGGGAUAAUCAAUUUUAAUCCUAGAUGUAUACAAAUGCAACCUAUCAUCUAGGAUUCAUGUUUAAAUCUUCUACAGUAAACUUAAUAGGAAUCCCAAUAACAUUAGUAAUAAUCAUGUUGGCAAUAUUUGUAGAAAUAAGCAUGUUCGAAUAAAAUACUCGUACCAAAUUAGGACAAAUAUGUUCCUUAAGAACUAAGACAUUUGUCCAACCCAAUUCAGCAAGUAAAGUUCUAAGAUUUUUGCUACAACUUGAAAAAUUUUCUAAUUAAUCAAGAUUAACAUAUAUAGUAUGGGAGGACUGACCUUGUCAUAAAUCGAUCAGAGAAUCAUUCCAUUGAGGCAGAUUUGGGAAGUGGGUGGAAAUGAAUUUCAAAAUGUCUUUAUGAAUCUUUUUUUUUUUACAUUUUAGGCAUAUGCUUACCCUUGGACUUCUCACCACUAGCCAUUAAGAAAUUAUCAAAAUGUGUCCAAAAUUGCACAAAUUCGAGUUCACAAAGUUUUUAAAGAAAUAGAUGAUUUUGAACCGAUUAAAAUGUUCUUUGAGAAGAUCUAAGGAAUGUAUGGGUUUAUUUUGGUCGAAAAUGGUCAAAUAAUGGUUCAAAUUUGAGAAUGUUGAAACUGGUGACUUAGGCUUUAAGAUUUUGAGAGAAGAAUGAUUAGAUUGUGUUUUAAAAGCAAAUGUGUGAAGAUUAAUUGAUGGGAAAUGAUUUGGAAAGUUUAAUUUGACACAAAAGUGAUGUAAAAAUGGAAGAUUUUAGAGAGAGAGUAAAAGAAAUGAGAGAUGACAGUGAUAGAGAGAGGGUAACAACUGAAAGUAGGAAAAAGAAGAUGAACAACAUUUGAAAAUGUGAAGCCAGCUAGCCUCUUGAAGAAAGCGGUUAACCGUUUCAUUUUUAGAAACCAAGCAAUUAACCGUUUACUUUGAGCCGGCUGGCCAGCUAGUUUCUGCCUCACAAUUGGCUAGUCGCUUGUGGUUAACGGUUAGCUAGUUCCUCUAAAUUUUGCAUGAUUUUGCUUUUUGGCCAAAAUUUAAUUAAUUUUGAGACCAUUUUGUGAUCCCGAAGUAUUUCAAAAGCCAUUUUUAAUGCAUAAGAUAUGAUGAUAAAUAUUCAAAGAAGUAAAUUCAAGCAUAUAAAACAUUAAAAUCAAGUUUUUAUCAUACAAUCAAUCAAGAUAGAAAAUCAAGCAAAUUUGUAGUCUCAAUAUCAUGCAACGAAAUAUUGAUGUGAAAAUGUCAUCAUUCCAAACUCAAUCCAAAUCUUUGAAAACUAUUCUUCACAAAAAGGCUUUGUAAAAAUAUCAACAAGUUAUUUUUCUAUAGAAACAAAUUCUAAAGCAAUAUCUCUCAUUUGAACAUGAUCACGUGAGAAAUAAUGCCUAGUUUCAAUAUGUUUGGUCCUAGAAUGUUGAAUGAGAUUCUUUGACAAAUUUAUUGAGCUAAUAAUUUAUAUGAGUUCCCUUAGACCAAGAUCAAUUGUUCCUCAUAAAUAAUGAAAAAUUAUUUUAACCGCAAGCAAAUGAGAUUCUUUGAGAUAUGGUUGAAAUCAUGCACACAAACAUACACUAAAGUAAUGUCUACUAGCAGUAAAGUAAAGUAAAGAUAUGAUCAUACCUCGAUAUCUUUUGAUACAACAUCUUUACUUUUUUUAUCCUUAUCGAGCUUGAUUGUAGUACUCAUUGGAGUGUCCUUAGUCCUGAAUGCAAAAUCUUUUGAGUAGAUCUCUGAAAUACUUGGCUUGAUUAAUGAAUUCUUUUUUUCUUUUAAAUUUUAAGUCCAAGAAAGUACUUCUAUUCUCCCAUCAUGCUCAUCUCAAAUUCUCUACUCAUGCAAGAUGAAAAUUCCUUACACAGAAACUCAUUAGUAGAACUAAAGAUAAUAUCAUCAAUAUAAAUUUGAACAAGUAUACCUUGAUCCUUGUAUUUAACAAAUAGAGUAGUAUUCGCUUUACCCAUUGAAAAACUAUUUUCUAAAAGAAAUUUACUAAGUCUAUCAUAUCAUGCUCUAGAUGCUUACUUUAAACUAUAUAAAACUUUGGACAACUUGUAAACAUGAUCCAAAAACAUUUUUCGUUUUUAAAAUGAGGGGGUUGUUUCACUUAAGCUUCUUCAUAAUACAACUAUUUAGAAAGGUGCUUUUAGCAUCCAUUUAAUAUAAAAUAAAAUCAUUAUGAUAUGCAAAUAAUAAAAGCAUGUAAUGGAUUCUAAUCUAGAUACAUGUGCAAAGGUUUCAUCAAAAUCAAUUUCUUCUUUUUGGUUGCAUCAUUGAGCUACUAAUCUAACUUUAUUCCUUACAACCACACUAGAUUCAUCGAUUUUAUUCAUAAAUACCCAUUUACUGCUUAUUACAGAUUGAUGUUAUGGUUUAUGAAUAAGUUUCCAUACAUUGUUUCAUUCAAAUUGAUUUAACUUUUCUUGUAUUGCUAUAAUCCAAGAUUCAUCAUUUUCCACAUCUGAAAAAGAUUUUGGUUCAACUUGAGAUAUGAAUACAGUAUGUUCACAUGUAUUUCUAAGUGAUUAUCUAGUAGUUAUACCUCAUGAAGGAUCUCCUAAGAUUAAGUCUUAGGGUGUGAAGAGACAUACCUUAGCUCCUUGGAGCGUGUUUGUGAAUUACCUUCAUUUUGAAUCUGUUUAACUUGUUCUUCUUGUUGCUUAUCUUGAUUUUUACCUCGUAAAUCAUCUUGUUUGUCUUUUAAAGACUUUUUGUUUUGUAACUCUUCAUAUGCAUCAUCAUCAACAACAACUUCCUUCAUAGAAGAAAAGUUAGAUUCAUCAAACAUAACAUGUAUAGAUUCUUUAGUGACCAAGGAUCUUUUAUUAUACACUCUAUAAGUUUUGCUUGUAUUUGAAUACCCAAGAAAAAUAUCAACAUCAGAUUUUAGAUUAAAUUUACCAAGAUUGUCUUUUGUAUUCAAUAGAAAACAUUUGCAACCAAAAACUUUAAAAUAGUCAAUGUUUUUUCUAUUUUUCCAAAGCUCAUAAGGAGUUUUAUUUAGGUAAGGUCUAAUCAAUGCACGAUUUAAAAUAUAACAAACAAUGUUGACGGCUCCAACCCAAAAAUAUUCUAGUAAAGCAUUUUCAUUUAACAUGGUCCUAGCCAUUUCUUGGAUAGACCUAUUCUUUCUCUCAACUACUCAAUUUUAUUGUGGAGUUCUUGGUGACAAGAAUUGAUGCUCAAUGCCAAAGUUAUUGUAAAAAUUUUCAAAAUAUAAUUUUCAAAUUCUCCACCAUGAUCACUUCUAAUGCAAGAAAUAACAUAUCAUUUUUUAUUUUGAACCUUUUUAUAGAAAUUUUGAAAGCAUUAAAGGUGUCAUCUUUAUUAGUUGAGAGUAAUACCAUGUGUAUAUAGAAUAAUCAUCUAUAAUUAUAAAUGCAUAAUAUUUACCACUUAAACUAGCAUAUUUAGAAAAUUCAAACAAAUCCAUGUGAAAAAGUUAAAGUGGUUUUGAAGUAGAAAUAUGAAUUUUAUUUUUAAAGGACGUUUUAUUUGUUUUCUAAAUUGGCAAACUUCACAAAUUCUAUCUUUUUUAGAACCAAUUUUUAGAAGACCUAUAACCAAAUCAUUUUAAAAAAAUUUUGAAAUCAAAUCCAUGCUCGCAUGACCUAGUCUUCCAUGCCAUAUCAACUAUCAUCAUGUAAUGUGAAAAAAAUAUUUAUCAUGAGUUGAUACACUAUCUAUAUCAAUGGUGUAUACAUUAACACAUCUUUAUCUAACAAAUAAAACUUUGCCAUCACAUGCAUUUUUAAUAACACAUUUUGUUUUAUAAAAAAUAACUCUAUAGCCUUUAUUACAUAAAAAUAACUUUGUAACCUUUAUCACACAAUUGACUAAUACUAAGCAAAUUCUAAAGCAAUAUAUUUCAUUUUUCUUUUUCAAAUCAUUUACAAGUAAACCUUUAUUCUUAGAUGAAACAUUUUGUUUUUUCUUUAAAAGAUGCAAUUUCUUCACAAAUACUUCUAGGCACUUAAUCUUUUUAUUCAAAGUGUCAUUCUCAUUUAAAAGUUCUACUUUUUUCUUUCCAAGAGAAACAUUUUACAUUUCAAUCUUCUUUAAAUCUUUAUGCAAUUUAGAGAAUACUUCAAACAACUCAUCCUAAGAGGUUUACCUCAUCAAGUUCAUCUUCUAUAAUCAUCUCCUAUAACCAUAAGUGCCAAAUUUGACACUUCAUGGGACUACUCUUCAUCUAUAGUCUCCUUAUCGCUAUCAUCCCGUGUUGCUACCAUGGCUUUCUUCUUUAAUUUUUUGAGAAAAGGACAUGCUAGUUUUAUGUGUCUAGGCUUCCUGCAUUUAAAGCAAGUAAUUGCCUCCUUCUUCUCUUUCUGAUUUUUGAAUUUCCUUCGCUCGAUGGAUUUCUUGAAAAUUAUUUUGAAUUUUCCAGCUAUCAUAGCCAUGUCUUCAUUUUCGAUCUCACUUUCGUUGUCACUUCUAGAUCUUGAUGCUUUUAAGGAAAUACUCUUCUUCUUCUCGUCUUCAUUAUAUUUUUUAGUUGUCAAAUCCUUUUCAUAAGAAAUAAAUGAACUAAUUAAAUCAUCAAUAGAUAAAGUAUCCUUGGCUUCCUUAAUGGCAAUUUUCUUAGGUCUCAAUUCUUUUGGUAAAGACCUACUGAUUUUUUUUACCUUCUCGCUGUUUGAAAAGGUUUUUCUAAGAGUUCCUAAAGUGUUUAUAAUGUCUGUUAAUCUAGUGUAUAUAGGAUUAACACUCUCAUUUUGUUCCAUUUAUAGCAAUUCGUAUUGCCUAGUAUAUUUACUAAUUUUAGACUAUUUGACUUGAUUUGUAGCUUUAUAAACGACUUUAUGUUUUUUCCAAAUUUCAUAAGCAUUGGAACAACCUUAAACUCUAUAGAAUUCUUUUUUAUCUAAGGCACAAAACAAAGCAUUCAUGACUUUGAAAUUAAGAGAAUCUUUUCUCUUUUCCGACUCAUUCCAUUCUUGUGAAGGUUUUAGAAUUUCUUUCCCUUCUUCAUUUUUAGCAGUAGGCAUGAAUGGACCAUCACAAUCAACUUCCUAUAUUUCAUAAUAUAAUGCUUGCAAAUAAAUUCUUAUCAUAAUUUUCCAACAUAGAUAAUCAUUCCCAUCAAAGAAUGGUGAUCUAGUAAGGGAUUAACCUUCCCCAAAUCUGGGAUCAUUUUGGAUUACUAUGGAUCUUUUACUCUAGAUGGUUAAGUCCUAACAAGAGAACUUCCUCUGAUACCAAAUGAAAUUCUAGCUAAGCAACCCAAGAGGGGGUGAAUUAGGUAUUAAAAAUUAUACUAACAAAAACACAAUACAAAUUAAACAAAUGCUUCAAGAAAUUUAAUAAUGGUAAAUUUAACUAUGCGUGAAAUUAAAAAGAUAAGGGAGAAGAUAACAAACACAUGAAUUUUUAUGUGGUUCGGCAAACCCGCCUAUGACUACGCCUCCAAGCAAUCCAAACUUGAGAAUUCUACUAUCCAAACCUUCCAAGGCUCCAAAAUUUUACAAUUGACUUCUAAGGUGUCAAUAAACCUUUACAAGUAAUUAUGUAUACACACACCUCUUUUCCCAAGUGUUUCCCACACUUAUACUCACUCAAUUUUGAUAUUUAAUUGAAGAUUACAAAGAUUACACUCUAUAAGAGUGUAUAAGCAAAUGAUAGCUCUAUAAUGAUUAAUGUAUGUAGAUAAGCAAAAUGAAAGCUCAAGAUAUAUGAAUAAGUUUUAGCUUAAUUGAGAUUGAAAAAAAUUGUUAGAUUUGAAUUUUAUAGUUUAAACAAUCAAACUAGCAAUUAUUGGCUUUUCUAGGGACUUGCUGGAUCGCCGUUAAAAUGAGGCGAUUAGCCACUAUGUUGAUAUGGUAAGUUACAGUUGCAAAUCAAAUUUGAAAACUUUGGUUCAAGCAGAUUACCACUUGAUUUAAGCGGUUAGCUGCUAUGUUUUUGGACUUGAAGUAGUUAGCCGCUAUUGGUUAAGCGAUUAGCCACUAUUGUUCUAGGAUUUAUAGAUUAGACCUAAUUUUUUUGAAAUUAUAUUACGACCCAAAACGUUUGAAAUAUUUAUAAAUAUGUCAAUUUCGAUGAUUUAAAACAUUAUUAGUUGAUUUCAAAGUUCUCAAAACUUUUCAAUUUAGUCCAUAAAUUUGGAAAAAGCAACUAAUUUUAUAAAAUCGUUAAAACUUUUAUAUUAUAGAAAAUGAUGAUUUAAUUUAAAAAUGUCAUGAAAAAUAUCUUGAGCUUUUAAAUGUUACAUCAUGCACACGUUCAAUUAUACUAUCUUUACAAGAAAUUUAACAAUAAAGAUUGCUUAAACUAGUACCCUUAGUAUUCAUCCUUGAUUGUCAUUGUCUAUUGAGUAUCUUGAUCUUGAUCUCACUUGAAUGAUUUUUGCCCUUCAAAAACUUGUGAGAUUGUGAGAAAUAAAUUUACCAUUGUACUCUAUGUAGUUUGUUAUCAUCAAAAUCAAGGAUUAUAUAACCAUUUAGGCCAACAAAAUAUUAUAAUAAAUAAUAAUUAUUAUGAUAAAAAAUUAAAGAUAUUUUGUAAUUUGUAACAACUCAUCGUGAUUUUAAAAUAAAAUAAAUAUAUCAAUGAUGAUAUAAUUUAUUUUAAUUUUAAUUUUUACAAUUUAAAUAAAUUAAUUAAUUAUCAUUCCAUAUUUUAAUUCCAACUCAUUCCAUUCCAAUUCAUUCAUAUUUUAAUCAGUAUAUCAACUACCCCCGAGCAAUGCCCGAAAGACAUUGAGGCAAGGGCCACAGAAAAAUAUGCACUUGUUAGCUUAGCGUUGGUGUCAAGUUUCUUUAGCAUUUUAAAUUCAUAAAAGAACUUAUAGUGUUUCUUCAUCCUUUGGCCUUUUCGGUGUUUACUUUCUGGAGUGAGUGUCAGCAGUGUGAAUUCCUCCCACUCCAGUGUUUACUUCACCAUUUUAAGGAGGGAUUGGGAAUCCCACUCCAUGGACCCCACUCAUUUUUGGAGUGGGGAGUGUGAGUGGGACUCCCAUGGGAAACCCACUCCCACCUCUCCAUUUUCUACUUUUAUUUAAUUAAAUUUAAUAUUUUAUAUUUAAUAAAAUAAAAUAAAAUAAAUAAUAUUAUUAUAUUAAUAGAGAAUUAAUAAUAUUACUAUAUGCUAUCUUUAUUUGAAGAUAUCAUAUUAUUAUAUUUAUUUAAAAAUAAUAGUAUUAUAUUUAUUUAAUAUUAAUAAUUAAUAAUAAUAAAUAGUUUAUUCUAAGAAAAUAUUAAUUUUGUACUAAAUAAUAUUAUAUUAUUAUUUAUAUAAUAAUAAAUUUAAUAUAAUAAAAUAAAAAAAUAUUUCAUUUUAUAUUUACCUUCCUUUUUUAACCCCCUUUUAUUAAAUUUACUAUAAUUAUAUUUAAUAAAAUAAAAUAAAUAAUAUUUUAUUUAUUUAAAUAAUAUUAUUAUAUUUAACUAAAUAAUAAUUUGGUUUGAUUCUAAGUUUAAAUUACUUAAAAAUAAUAAUAUUAUAUUAAUAGAGAAUUAAUAAUAUUACUAUAUACUAUCUUUAUUUGAAAAUAUAAUAUUAUUAUAUUUAUUUAAAAAUAAUAGUAUUAUAUUUAUUUAAUAUCAAUAAUUAGUAAUAAUAAAUAGUUAAUUAUAAGAAAAUAUUAAUUUUGUACUAUGUUCAUAGUAAAAAUGUUUCAUUUACAUUGCUCUUAUCAAUAAUUUUUAAUUUAUAUAAUUAAAAUUAAAAUUAAUAAAAAAUUAUGAUGUACAUAAUUAAGAAUAUUAAUAAUUAUUAUAAAUUUACAAAUAUAAUAAAAUAAAUGUUUAUUCAUUAAACAUAUUUUUUUAUUAACUUUGUAAUUAAAAACUAUAAUUCUUUAAAUAAAGGUAAAAUUAUAAUUUGAAACUAUUUACUUCCAAUCCAAGAUAAAGUAAACACAUAAAUUGGAUUAUAAUUUUCAUUCCGUGCUUAUAUUCCAGUGUAAGUAAACAACUUACACCCACUUUUACUCCAUACUCUCAAUCCUAAGAUUUCCACUCUUCAAGAUUCUCAGUCCAAUCCAAAAUGUAAACACUAUCUAUGGUAAUUGUUCACGCAACUAUUUUAAUCGAAAAUAUUUUAAUCGAAAAUAUUUUAAUCGAAACUAAUAGACCUUUCAACAAUUUUAAUCGAAAAUAAUAGACCUUUUAACAAUUUUUGCGGAUUCUGGCAAUUGUUCAGGCAACUAUUUUAAUAGAAAAUAUAUAUGGCUCCAUAAACAAUGAUUAUCUCUUGACAGCUGUUCUGGACUCGCUAUUUGUACUGAAAUAGAAGAUUAUCUCUUGAUGAUUAUUUAAUUGAAAAGAAUUUGUCGUUUAUAUUUGUUCACCUGGCCUUUGGAUGAGGAUCACAUGUUUUAUGACAAUCGUAAUGUUACUAAUGUAAGUCAAGCAAUUAUUUUUAAAUAAUGAUAUUAUAAUUAAAAAUCUAAAAACAUUUAUAAUACUUAAAGACUAAUUCAGAUUAUUAAUUUUUUUAUAUGACUUCAUUAUUAGCUGACAAAUAAUUAAAAGGCCAUAGAUCAAUAUUUUUAGGUCCAAUUUUUAAUUUAAUAUGACACAACUUGUACUUUCAUUCCUAUACUAAAGUAUAUCGAACCUACUAAUAAUUAAGAAAUAUAUAUAUUCAACACAUAUUUGUUAGAAAGAUUAUCUACUAAUUAAUCAUUGAUUACGAGAUUAAUAUAUUGAAAUUCAGAACUUUUUUUUUUCCUUCUGCAGUUUAAAAAGGAGUCGCCCUCUUGAUCCCCGUAUUCGUCAGCUUCUACUCUUUGCCUUCAAUUCUCAGUCAAGAAAACCUCUCCUGAUUUUCGUCUUUUGAUCUCAUACACACUUUGCUUCUGUUUAUCGUGGUCACUGCUCGUGCUAGCCGUUUUCUUAUUUAUCUUUGUUCCCUUUUUCCAUCAGCUCUUUGCAUUUUCAUUGGAUCAAGCAACCCUUUUCUUGAUUCAAUUUUCUGAUCUCAAAAACACUUUGAUUCGCUUCUGUUACACUGAUUUUCCCCUUGUUUUGUACAAAUAUCAUUUCUUUUUUCAACUUUGCCUUGUUUUGCUUCUACUUGAUUAUCAAUUGCACAGCCGUUGACCCUGUUCUAUUUCUAUUUCGUUCACUUCCCCAAAAAAAAAAAAAAAAAUGGACAUUUUGAAAAGCAUUGUUCCAGGAGUUGUAAACUGCUUGUCUCCUCACGCACAACGCGAAUUUUGUUAUUGGUAUAACUCCGCUGCCAACUUUGAGAAUCUCAAGGAAGAACUCGAUAGGCUCAAGGAUGAAAGAGAAAGCGUUCAGCGCAGAGUUUCUGAGGCUGAAAGAAAAAGUGAAAAGAUUGAAGAGAAGGUUGAGAAAUGGCUGGUUAAUGCGAACAAGAGCAUUGAGGAGGCAGCCAAAUUCAUUCUAGACGAAGAGAAAGCAAAUGAACGAUGUCUCAUGGGGCUGUUUCCUAAUUGGAUUACUCGCUAUCAGCAUGGAAAGAAAGCAGAAACAGAGAAGGAGGCCCUUUUUAAACUCCGAGAAGAAGCUGGGAGAUUUGAUGAUAGAAUUUCCUACCGUACCAUUCCGGAGGAGAUUUGGCUCAAGUCUCACAAAGGCUACGAGGCCUUCGAAUCAAGACGUUCUACUUUGGAGGCUAUAAAAAAGGCAUUGAUCGAUGUUGAUGUCAGCAUCAUUGGGGUGUACGACAUGGGCGGCAUUGGAAAGACGACACUGGUGAAGAAGGUCGCCAGGCAAGCUAUGGAAGACAAGCACUUUGAUAUGGUGGUCUUUUCAGAGGUUUCGCAAACUCCAGACAUAAAACAGAUUCAACAGGAAAUUGCCGAGAAGUUGGGCUUGGAGUUGCGCGAGGAAGCUGAAUCUAGAAGAGCUAGUAGACUAUAUGAAAGAUUGGAGAAUGAGAAGAAGAUCCUUGUGAUUCUGGAUAACAUCUGGAAACCUCUUGAUUUGGGGACUAUUGCAAUUCCUUUUGGAGAAGAUCAUAAAGGCUGCAAACUACUGCUGACAGCAAGAGAUCGUAGUCUCCUCUUAAAAAUGGGAUCUAAAGACAACUUUUUGAUAAACAAUUUAAAUGAAGAAGAAGCCUGGAGAUUGUUUAAGAUGAUGGCCGGAGAUGAUGUUGAAAAUCGUGAGUUGAAAUCUACAGCAAUAGACGUCGCCAGGGCAUGUGGAGGUUUGCCCAUUGCCUUGACUACAGUGGCAAAGGCACUGAGAAGCAAGAGUCUUCAUGAAUGGAAGAAUUCCUUGCGAGAACUCCGAACGCCUUCAAUGGUAAACUUCGAAGGAGUAUCUGCAGAGACUUAUUCAAGUAUUGAGCUGAGUUUCAACCAUUUAAAAGGUGAGCAACUCAAGAAAAUUUUUCUGCUCUGUAGUCUAAUGGAUAACCGUAUUCUUACUUCGGACUUGUUUAAGUACUCCAUGGGUUUGGGUAUAUUUAAAGGAGUCAAUAAGAUGGAAGAUGCACGAGACAAAUUAUAUGCAUUGGUCCAUGAACUUAGACACUCUUGUUUGUUGCUUGAGGGUGAGAGCAAUGAACAAUUUUCAAUGCAUGAUGUUGUUCGUGAUGUCGCAAUAUCAAUUGCAUGCCGCCACCAACAUGUGUUUUUGGUGAGAAAUAAGGAUGUGUGGGACUGGCCAGAUGAGGAUGCACUUCGAAAAUGCAAUGCGAUCUCUUUAAGAAAUAAUAGUAAUCGUGAAUUUCCUGAAGGAUUAGAAUGCCCAAACCUUGAAUUUUUAUUUAUCUCUCUCAAAGAUUCUUCUCUUGAAAUCAAUAUUCCUGAGAACUUUUUUGUAGGGAUGAAAAAGCUUAGAGUUCUAGAUUUUACUCGAAUGCAGUUUUCUUCUUUUCCAUCUUCAAUUGAUCUUCUACCAAAUCUUCAGACACUAUGUCUGGAUCAAAGUGCGUUGGGGAACAUAGCAAUCAUUGGAAAGUUGAAGAAUCUAGAAGUCCUUAGCUUUUUGAAGUCUGAUAUUAUGCAGUUGCCCGGAGAACUAGGUCAAUUGAAUAAGUUGAGAUUGUUAGAUUUAACCAAUUGUUUCCAUCUAAAAGUUAUUGCGCCUAAUCUCAUAUCAAGCUUAACUCGAUUAGAAGAGCUGUAUAUGGGUAAUUGCUUCAUUGAAUGGGAGGUUGAAAGAGCCAACAGCAAAAGAAGUAAUGCUAGCCUUGACGAAUUGAUGCAUUUACCUCGGCUAACCACUCUAGAAAUUGACGUUAAAAGUGACAAUAUUUUACCAGAAGGUUUUUUGGCCAGAAAGCUCGAAAGGUUCAAAAUAUCUAUUGGAAAUGAGUCAUUCAUGCCUCCCAAGAGUGUUAGAGGAUCAACAGUUAUCGCAAGAGUUUAAGAGGAUUGAAGCUCAAGCUUGAUUUUAUGGACAUUUGCUCCAUGAAAUUGCAGGGCAUCAAUAACGUUGAAUACUUAUGGUUGGACAAGCUGCAAGGCACCGAGAAUGUUCUUUUCAAUUUGGACACGGAGGGCUUUUCACAAUUGAAGCUUCUCUGGGUUCAAAAUAAUCCUGACUUCUUUUGCAUCGUCGAUUCAAGGGAGAUGGUCGCUUGUGAUGCCUUUCCUCUUUUGGAGUCACUUACCAUUCGCAAUUUGAUCAACAUGGAGAGGAUAUGUAUUGAUCGGCUCAAAGUAGAGUCUUUCAACAAACUCAAAACCAUAGAAGCAUAUAAUUGUGAUAAAUUGAGUAAUAUCUUUUGGCUCUCUACAACAAAAUGUCUUCCAAGACUUGAGAGAAUUGCAGCUAUUAAUUGCAGCAAGAUGAAAGAGAUUUUUGCAAUUGGGGAAGAAGUUGAUAAUGCAAUUGAGAAGAUAGAGUUUGCUCAAUUAAGAUCUUUGAGUCUGGGGAAUCUUCCAGAGGUUACAAGUUUUUGCCUCCAUGAGGUGAAGACUCCUUCAGCAUCACCGAACAGACAAGUGUCGCAAGAGGAAUCGACGACUAUGUAUUGCUCCAGCGAAAUCACUUUGGAUACUUCAACUCUGCUUUUCAACGAGAAGGUGCGUAGGCUAACAUUUUCUUCAUAUGUAACAGAUUUUAUUCAUAUAUAACGUUCUCUUUUGACGUCAUACGUGGAAAAUAAUUAAAUCAUUUAAAGAAUUGAAAGAAAAUGGAAAAAAGGAUAAAAAGAAUCUCACUCGCUCACUAAUUGAGCUCUUAACAAGUAGUAUGAAUUAGAAUGCAUACUCAGCUGUCAGUUGGAAAUUGAUUCAGACUUGCAUUAAUUUGCAAUCAAAGAAGAAAUUUUCAACAAGUGCUUCCCAUAUGGAAAUUGGAUCUAACGAGGAAUUCUUAUUUUUUUAGGUUGCGUUGCCUAACUUGGAGGCUUUGGAGAUAUCUGAAAUUAAUGUCGACAAGAUUUGGCACUACAAUCACCUUCCGAUCACGUUUCCUCGCUUUCAAAAUUUAACACGAUUGAUUGUGUGGCAUUGUCACAAAUUAAAAUACAUAUUUUUAGCGUCUAUGAUCAGAAGCCUUAAGCAGCUCCAACACCUAGAAGUACGCUUCUGUGAGGAUUUACAGGAGAUCAUUUCUGAGAACAGAGCAGAUGAAGUGAUCCCUAAUUUUGCCUUUUCACAGCUCACCACUCUGAGACUCGAAGAUCUACCAAAACUUAGAUAUUUGUACCCUGGAAUGCAUACUUCGGAAUGGCCCGCACUAGAAAUUCUUUUAGUGUAUCGUUGUGACAAAUUAAAUAUAUUGGCUGCAGAUUUAUCGCAGAAUAAUGAGAAUGAUCAACUUGGUAUUCCUGCACAACAGCCCCUAUUGCAGUUGGAAAAGGUAUGAAGCCAUUUUCUAGAUUUUUUAUCAAUAGUGUAUUUUGAACUUUGAAAAAUAUGACAAAGCAUCAAUAAAUUAAUACUCAAUAAAUUGAAAACUUUUAUUAUACAAUAAUCUUUGCUAGUCUAGACUAAAAGAGUUUGUUUGUUAAAUGUCUGAAGUUUGAAAUUUUAUUAAUUUCAGACCUUUUCCAACAUAUGCUUAUUUGUUUUUUUGGAACUUAUUGUUUGUUUUUUGGAACUUAUGUUUGAUUUUCAGACAUUUACAUAUGAAUAGAAAAAGUAAACUUUUGUGACUUUUAUUUGAAUGGAAAAAUGUCUGAAUGACAAGUAAAUAUUAAAUUCCAAAAAUAUCCUUGUAAAAUAAUUUAUUUCCUAAACUAUAAAAUGUUAUCCUCUUUUUUGUUUUAAUUUACAAGGACAUAAAUGUCAAAUAACCAAAUUAAGAUGUUUUUUAUUAUAAAAACAAACAAGAUGCCACUUAUAUUCAGAUAUUUAAAAAAGAAAAGGGAAAAGGACAAACACACCCCCAACGUUUAGGUAAAGGGACAAAAACCUCCCUAAUGUUUCAAAAAAGACAUUUACACCCCAAUUUAUUAUAAUUUUACCAUUAUACCCUUCUAGCAUAUAAAAAAAUUAUUAGAUUAUCCAAUUUGUCUAUAUAUUGUUAAUAAAAUUAUAAAUAUACCCUCAUUGCCUCAUUCCUCUAUUUAAAUUUUUAUCAAUAACCAAUUUUAAAGAAAGACAUCUACACACUUAAAAAAAAUUGUAAAUAAAUUAUAAUUUAUAAAAAAUUGGUUAUGAAUACCAUAAUAAAUAACAUAGAAAAUUGGUUAUAAAUGUACAAGUUUAAAUGAUUGACAUGUGGAGAAUUGUUAAAUAUACAAGUUUAAAGUUUAAAUAAAAUUGGUUAUUAAUAACCAAUUUUAUUUUUUAAAUUAUAAUUUAUUUACAAUUUUUUUAGGUGUAUAGAUAUCUUUUUAAAAAAUUGGUUAUUGAUAAAAAUUUAAAUAGAGGAAUUGGGCAAUGAGGGUAUAUUUAUAAUUUUUUUUUAAUAUCCAAAUUGUCUAUUUAUAAUUUUAUUAACAAUAUAUAGACAAAUUGGAUAAUCUAAUAAUUUUUUUUAUAUGCUAGAAGGGUAUAAUGGUAAAAUUAAAAUAAAUUGGGGUGUAAAUAUCUUUUUUAAAAUAUUAGGUGGGUUUUUGUCCAUUUACCUAAACGUUGGGGGUGUGUUUGUUAUUUUCCCAAAAGAAAAACAAACAUGUCAUUCAUAUUUUCGUAAUCAGACCCAUUCAGACUUUAAAAAAAUUUAGACUCAUUUAGAUUUCAGACAAAAAAAACAAAAGCUACCUAAGGGAUCAAUGUGGUAGAUUAAUAAUUAUAUGAACUUUUUUAGGUAUAAAAUUUAUAACUAUAUGAACUUUUUAAGUCUUUCCAUAUAGAAGAACUUACAAAAUAAAUUAGUAAUUUACUAUUGUGCAAUAAAAUAAUUUCGUUUUUUUCCCUAAUUUCUUUAUUACCUCUAAAACUAACAUAUAAAAAAUUCAUAUAAUGAAUUUUAUCACUAAUUCAAUUUUUUUAGGGGUAAAACUAAUAUAAAAUAAAUACUAUAAAGUCACUGCUUGUGAUUGGAUUACUCAAAAUCAUUUGAGAGAACAUCAAUUGACCUCAUUAGUUAUUAUGAUUGAUGAUGAUCAGAUCGUACCCAACUUGAAGGAACUAUCACUAAGUGGAAAAGAUGUGAAGAUGAUUUUGCAGGCCGAUUUCCCACAACACCUUUUUGGCAGUCUCAAACAACUAGAGAUUGUUGGAGAUGACUCAGCUUGUUUUCCAAUCUGGAAUGUACUGGAGAGAUUUCACAAUCUCGAAAUACUCUCACUGUUUCAAUUUUCAUUCCACGAAGAGGUAUUUUCGGAGGAAGGAAGCUUAGAGAAACAUGUGGGGAAGUUGGCAAUGAUAAAAACAUUAGAGCUGCGCUGCCACUAUCAUCUGAAGCAGCUGUGCAAACAAGACUCCAAACUUGGCCCCAUUUUUCAGUAUCUUGAAAUUCUGAGUGUACUUCAUUGUCAAAGUCUGUUAAUUCUAUUGCCAUCAUCAUCGGUAUCUUUUGGGAACCUAACAAAACUUGUAGCUUUCGGUUGCAAGGGAUUGAUACACAUGGUAACAUCCUCCACAGCAAAAACUCUAGUGCGACUCGUAUCACUUUGUGUAUACGGAUGCAGAGCAAUGACAGAGGUGGUAAUAAAUGACAAAGAUGGAGUUGAAAAGGAAGAGAUUGUUUUCCGCAAAUUGAAGAUGUUGGAUCUGCGUGAUUUAGAUAGCCUCACAAGUUUCUGCUCUGCCAAUUACACCUUUGAAUUCCCAUGCUUGCAAGAUCUAUUUGUGAUUGGUUGUCCCAAAUUGAAGAUUUUCACUAGAGGAGAAUCAAGCACGCCUCCGAGAGUAAACGUCUGGUAUGGAGAGACAUCGAAUCAACGGCGUUGGUCUAGUAAUGAUCUUAACACGACCAUACAACAAUUACAUGCUGAGAAGGUACGGAUAUACAUGUUACUCUCUAUCUCCCAUGGAAAAAUUUUACAAAAUUUGCUUUUUCUUUUUAAAUAAAAUAUCGAUAAGAUAUUUGUUAUAAAGUUAGUUUAAAUUGAUGAAUAAGAAUUUUAUUUUCAGCUGUUGGCGGGGUCGUCGUCAUACUCUGUGGAUUACGACUAAUUUCAUAGGCUUCUUAUGACUUGGAGUUACGAAUUUGAAGAAGAAAGUCCCGGCUGGUAAUUAAUUCUUAUUUUAUUUAUUUGAUCUCGUGGGUUGUUUCACAACUUCAUCUCAAUUGUUUAGAAUGGGUCACUUGGUUUACUGUCAAUAUGGAAUGCACUUUUCAUGAUUCGUUCAGGCUUUUAUGGGCAGAUUUUGCGUCAUUGAGCGUCUUUUGGCCUAAUGUAAUUUAAUUUGAGUAUUUUGUUUUGAGAGUUCCCUUGUUCUCUAAAAUUUUAUAAUUCCUUGCAAGCAUUUUAUGAUGAAAUUUCAUUAAGAGGGGCAACACUUGCAUGUUGAAAGUGUUCAGAUUUUAUAAUUCCUUGAAAUCAUGCAAACUUUUUUCUUUCUUUCCUUGCCAAUUAUUUAUUGUCAUCGUUACUGUUCCGUUAAAUUUGUUUGUGCUCUGUUUGUUCAUUGGAAACUUGGAAGGCAACGAAAGUACUUAAGAAAAUGCUCUUGCCUAUGAACACAUAAUUAAGAAGCUGAAUAUCAUUCAGCGGGUAAUAUAUAUAUAUAUAUAUAUAUAUAUAUAUAUAAUUAGCCCAUUAUGCCUACAACAAAUCCUUACACCAUCAAAGGUUAGCUAUGAACAACUAUAUUAUGGAAAUAUUGUUUGAAAGCAUUGGAUAGAAUUUUCAAAAAUAUCAAGUUUUCACAAACCAAAAAGGGAACUAAUUUGGUCUAGUUUUGUGACAAGUAUAGAAGCACAAUAUUUUGUCUGUUAUUCUUGUUAAAAUUCGCAGCACUGAGUUUGCAGAAUGUCUGGAUACUGAUGGAGAUUCAAGUCACUCUUCUUCUGUGCAACAUUCGAAAUGAAGACUUUUUUCCCCCUCUAUUCAAAUUUUAUGUUGUGAAGGGUUUCCGUUUCCAUCUUCAUGUGAUUUACUUCACCGUGUCGCUACAUCUAUGAUAGUGUGUGUUAUAUCCUGUCUGUUUCCUUUGUUUGACCAUCGAAAGUUCAAAGACAAUUUAUUCUAAAUAUGUGUAAAUUCAUUUUCUGUAUAAGCUCUUUGUAUGCAUUUUGACAUUUUAUUCUCAAUAUGGAUGACUCAAUGAGAGGUCUUUUGUUAUAUAUAUGUCCCGAAUUUCUUGUGUAUUUUUAGAUUUGAUGAUGUAUUAUUGUCUCAUUGCAAGGUCUUAUAAUCACUGAUUCUCAUUUCUCGUAUACAUACGUAUAUAUGGGCAAGAAAUUUGGUAAAUGAUCUAGUCAUUUUCUCAGUAAAACAUCUAGUACUUUAUAUGUUGGAAGGGUACUAAGCAGCAGGCCAAGAUUUGUCAACUCAAAGAUCGUCAUGUCAUUUUUUAAAAAUAUUAAGGAAUACUAAGGAACCCCAAGAGAAAAUUUAGAAAUACUAUAGGGACUACUUCUGCAUUGUUCAUUUUCGCAAUUACCUGCAUUAUUAUUUUUGUUUUCAAUUAAUCAAACUUCAGUUCCUUAGCAUUCAUCUAAUUAUGUACUUCAUCUGGAAAUCCUUAAUUUACUCAUCAAAAUGUGAACGCUAAGGAAACUAUGAAAAUAAAUAUAAAACUACUAGCUAAGUUUAUCAUCACAUAUGAGCAGCACUAGAUUAUCAAAUAAUCAUAAAAGCAUAUAAAUUCAAGCUACUGUAUUAUAUGUAGCUUGCUAAUUUGUGUUUAUAAAGAAUUUAGUUAUGCAACAAAAUGGGACACGAAAGUAGCAAAACUUCAUCAAAUACUCUGUUUUGUAGUACUUCAACAUAUCUACUGGCUAAGAAGUACCAUCACAAAUGAAAAUGUCGGCACAAAUAUUCAAGCAAGUGCAAGUAUCAAAAGUUGGUGGAUUAUUGUGGUUUUCCUACUUUGUCGUUUUUGGUUGAAUAAAUUAAUAAAAGCUGUCGAUUCUGCAUUAAAGCUUAUGAAUUGUGAAGAUAUGAAUACCAAAUCUUUCCAACUCCAACUCUUGAGUAAUUAUUAGGUUCCCACCCAUGCAAACAUAUUUUCUUUCGAGAAAAAGGGAUGCCUGAUUCAGGGCAUCCGUUGCCUCGGUUUAUUUGAUUUUGUUUGGUUCAAUUAUAGUUCUGUUAUUUAGUUUUUCCUCUGAUGAUUCUGUUUCUCUGUAUAUUUCACUGGGUUUGCUUUGCUUCACAUCUUUCUUUCAAAACUAAGAAGGCAAGGAAAGCGAGUCUGUAAUUAGAAAAUGCAAGUAGCAUAUAUCAAAUCAUGCAUAUGCUUAUGCUCUUGCCUAUGAACACAUAAAGAACAGCUGAAUAUCCUUCGUCGGAUAACAAAAAAUAAAAUCUAAUCAUCCAUUAUCCAUACAAGUAAUGAUAUCAUUACUUUUAGCAAAUUAAAGGUGUUGUAUCUUUUUUAUUUAAAAAGUCUCUUAAGAUUUUUAUUUUUCCGGUAAUUACACCUCCAAAUUUCCACAGCUAUAAUGUCAAUUUGUAAUUAUUUGUCCCAAGAUGCAGAUUUUCACUAGAGGAGAAUUAAUAAUUACGCUAUUUCGGCCCAGAGGACCAUGAAGCCCCUUGGGUUGUUGACAUUAACACUAGUGCGUUUACCAACCUAAACCUUCGGUUUGGUCAACAGUUUCUAAAUUGGUUUAGGUCAACAGUUUCUAAAUUGAACCUAUGGUGAAUGGAGGAAAAAGAAAAAGAGAUUUAUCAGAAACCUCCCCUGAAGUUUGGCAUAUUCUUAGUUUAAUAGAUUGUAUUUGUGUAUUCUCAAAUACCUCCCCUGGUGGCUGGUGCUAGUAUACCUUUUCUUAAUACCCCUAAUUUAGAAAAAAAUAAUUUGUAUACUGAAAAUAAAAAAUUGUUGGUUAGCACCAGCAUGUUUGUUUUGGUGCCUAAGGGAUGUGAAUGCAAUGAAAAUAUCCAAUCACCCCCGUUACUUUCCAAAAUGACUUUGAUAAAUGAAACAAACAAAAGAUUUAAGUCAAAUAUCAAAGAAUCAGAAGGAAGCUGUUUUGCACUGGCCUAAUUGCUAUGCUUUCUGAAUCAAAUUUCGUUCAAUCUUGGUGUCCCUCUUUUAUUCAAUAUAAGAAGAAUGAAAAAAGUAGGUUGUUUUUUACACAAGUGAUAGAAAUACUUCUUAACUUUAGACAGUGUAACACCAUACACAUCAAAGAAAUAAGACAACAAACCAUUUCCCAUGCAUAAAGCCAACAAAAUUACUAUUUAGUACAAGGGAUGCAACAUAAUUUUAAAUUUUAUUCCUCAAGAGCUACAAGUGAUACAAAUGAGUACACAAAUCAACCAUCUGUAGCUUAACCAGAAGAUGAUGCAAAUGCAUGAAAAUGAAAAAGCCUACGAAUAGUAUACAUGGUAAGUAUGACUAAGUAAAAUAACAAUUCUGAUUGAUAAUACCACCAGCAACAGGACCUUCAUACCUUCUCUUUAUUAAUCACUAGUUGGUAUGCUAUAGCCCAGCCAAGUGUAAAAUGAAUGGCGAUCGAGCUCUUGAGCCUCGGUAUACCCUCCAUAAGUUGUCUUGCUAAAACCCAAGAAAUAGCUUAUAAGAUGAAAUGGACCGCCCAUGGUUCAUACAAAGAAAAGAAUAAGCCACAUAUUAAUUGAAGCUAACAACAGACAUAAAAUGAUAAAUGAAAAAUGCUCACCUUCAGAAUGAAGUCAAUGUAAUGAAGAGCACCAUUCUCAAAUUCAGUUCUGCCACCUGGAAAAAUGUGGUAUUCACCAGUAACUUUAACCCCAUUUUGCUAACCCUUAACUUCUGCAAGCUUUGUGUGGGGAAAAUUAUAAUACCAAAUCUAUCCCACACAUCAUGAGAACAAAUCUUAGCCCAAGUGAAUUAAAAGUAGUCAAGUAUAUAUUUUAUAAUGCAUAAUAUAAGAUCAUACCCUAUCCCUGCUUUGGGGCCACUUAAUUGAGUGUUUGUAUCCUUCCAGUAAAGGAGCAAUACAGGUACAAGCUUCUUCAGGGCAAUACCUCUCUCGAUGUUCAUAAUGCUUUUGUGCUGGAAAGCAUUCUAAUUGCUUGCAAAUUGUCCAGGCAAGGGAUGCAAUCUGGCCUAGCAGUGGCAUUACACACUUUCCAGCGAUGACCAUACUGGUCCUUAGAUACAGAAGAUUGUUGUGAUAUUUUCUGAUUCUAUGACUCAAUAGGUUGAGUUGAGCAAGCCCCAUUCUGAGCAUUAGUUUCCUUCAGAAUUUCUCAGUAGUCACCAAAAGGAAAAAUCUCAGUUGAAGCCUGAUCCUUUCAACAACUCUCAGUGUCAUUAUCUUGAUCUUGAGAAUCCUUCUCCUUUUCAAUCUGACUAGCCUGAUCCAUUUAUUUUCAUCCAAGCUCUUCUCUGAUUCAAUUUGCUCAAUUUUAUUCAAUUCGCCGCCUUCUGUUUCUCCAGCUUCUUAAUUCAAAUCUCCACCUUCACUUUUAGAUUCCUUAUCUUCCUUUUUUCUAACAUCGUAAUUUUUAGACACCGCCUUAGAUUCCUCUUCAGACUCAGUAUUCUCAUCAAAACUCUCCUUCACUAAAUUCUCUUCCUGGUUUUGAUUAACCAUAUUCUUAGAUUCACUCAUCUCACCAUCACCCUCAUACAUAUUCAUCUCUUCGUGAUUAUCUUCCACUCUAUUCUCUAACUUUUCAACAGGAACAUCAUCCCCAUCCCCAUUUGUUGAAUCCUGUCAUUCAUCACCUUGAUUUUCUACGAAAGGCCCAGAAAAAUCUCAGAUAUUCUCUGUUUCACUUUGCUUAUAGGCUCUUAAGAGGACAACAUCCUGGAUCCCACACCAGUACAACUGAUGAUGACAUUAACAUCCAAACGCCAACCAGAAAAAGACCAACAAACACUACUACAGUAACCAUUGAACAAAGACAAUAUCACAGGUUCUUUAGCUAUUUAAUAUUCCAUCAAAUAUAAUUAUAUAAUACCUACCAAGGAUUUCCGAAUAGAAGGCAUUCUCAUCAUUCUCAUCUCAAGCAGCAACCUCACCAGUAACACAUUUUCAUAUCAUGUUUCCACCACAGGUCGCACGUAUAGAAAGAAUGAAGUAUUAAUUAGCUUCAACAGAGCCUAUUUCUUUAUUUCUUUUUUUCCCAAAUAAACCUUCAUUCUUAUACGUAUAAUUAAAAUAUCAACUGAAUAAACAAAGUCUAUGAUUACUAGUACAACAUUUUCAUUUUCAAGCGGAGCAAGAUAAGAUAUCGAUGUCGUCAAAUAAACCUAAUUUAAUCUUGAAACCAUAAACUGCACUAAGCAUAGCAGCAAAGCCAGAGCCUGACUAUAAAGAAGCUAAUAUAUAUAUAUAUAUAUAUAUAUAUAUACCUUUGGAAAUUGAAACUGUUCACUGUAGCGGGUUUUUAAGUGCACAGUAACCUUUGGAUCGUAGCUUUGAAUAGUAGGCUGACCGUAGCUUUGAACAGAAGACUACUUUGUACGAAUACUGAAAUACAAAAUGAAAUACAAUACGGGUGAAGAGACAUGUGCGGAUCGAAGGAUGGAUGUGCUUUCAAAAUACUUUAUUAUUAAAAACUCAAAUUAAACAAUCAAUAGAAUCAGCUUCGUCAGAUUUUAAAAGAACUUGAGCCCAAUACAGAGUUGCAAAAUAAUUUCCCGUCCAAGGAUAAGUUUUCCGUUUAGGGCUGUAAAACCAUACCUGUAGCCAUUCUGACCAAACCAAAGAUAGAACCCAGGAUUCUAACCAUGGAUCCUCUUUACUGUAGAGCAUCGUCCUUUUCUAGCUCUUCUUCUGGGAAGACUAGUGAUUCAAAGCAUGUUGUGAGUUCAGAAGAAUUUGUUAUUGAGAACUUUGAUAAAGCAAUUGAUUGUUGGGAACUUCCAAAGAUUUCAAAAGAAAAGAUUUACAGAACAAAAAAGCUUGAUUUCUGGAAAAAUGAUUAUGUUAUAAAAACUGAAGAACGUGAUAUAACUCUUUCAAAGCCUUUUGAAACAAUUAAUUUGUUUUCAGAAAAAUCUUUAAAUAAGUUAAAAGAAAAGAAUUUUAAUUACAUUCAUAUAGGUCUCAUCCAAAUAGGCAUAAAGCCCCUUACCAAAGAAGGCUUGGAUACUUCUAUCCUUGCUGUUCUUAGAGAUGGUCGAUUCAUCUCUUUUGAUGAUUCUCUGCUAAGUAGCAUUGAAUCCAGCCUAUGUAAAGGUCCCAUUUCAUUUGAUUGCUAUCCAAACAUAACAUUGUCUCUUAAAGACAAAAACAUUUUGAAAAGCAUGAUUUUACAAAUCAAAACGCAUAACUAUCAUAUGAUUGAGGGAUCUAUCCCUGUUGCAUUGAUUUUUAAAAUCUCUUACAAAGCUAUGAUUACUGCAUUCAGCACUCAGCAUAAAUUUCAGUCCAAAAGAGAUGAAACUCUUCUCUUACAGACUGAUCUGUCCAGAGCAAACACUGUCAUUCCAAAACCAAUCCAAUGGAAAGAUGUCAAUCUUCCUGAGGAAUGGAUUCUUGAAGGAGCCGCUCCACCAGCGAUUCCAAAACAACUUGAGCCCAAUACAGAGUUGCAAAAUGUGACUCAGUAUUCUGAUGGUAAAGUCAAAUUAUCAUUUAGGAGAUCUAAUUCAUCCAGAUUCUCCGAUAAAGCAUCAUGCUCAAGCAUUCCUUCAAUGGAAAGGAAAUUUACAAAAAUACCCUCUGUCAUAAAUCUCCCAUUUCAGAGUCAACCUAGGUUCUCCACUUCGGACUUACCUAGUUCUUCUAUUAGUUCUGUUGACUACACUACAAAGGUACCACAUCCCAUUUACAUUAGCAGUCAACAUGAACAAAGACAGGAAGAGAAGGAACCUUCUCCUCCAACUUCUCCUACAUUCUCUGCAGUCACAGAAAAUGUUUUAAAUGUUAUUGAAAAGCAUUUUGAAUUAGAUAAAACCAUAUUGCAUAAUGAUUUUUAUUCAGAUGAUAAUAAAGAAAAAAGACUUUGGUUUUUUAAACAUUUUUUAAAUCAAAGGAAGGAAAUCCAACAAACUUACUAUGAAUUUGUUAAUUUCCAUCAAGUUCAUAUAUUGUUUUUUGAUUGGUUCGAGAUAUAUUCUUCUAAGAACAACAUUUCCUAUCCUUUCAAAGAGUCAAACCCUAUUACUAUCAGAAAUAAAACCACUGAGUGGAAACUCUUCGAUAGUAAUAGAACUGUCAAUUCUGAGCAUCCCCCUCUUAGGAGUGUAAUCAUAGAUCAUGGUGAACCUCCUGUUGAAAUCAGAGCCUCACCUUACAAAAUCCCAAAGCCUAAUGAUCCUGAAAUCAAUUUAAGUAGUAUUAUUCAACAGAAUAAUUUCUGUAAUACUAACUUAAAUACCAUAGGAAAACAGUUGACCAGAUUGGAAAACCAAUUUCAACAGUCAACCAUAUCUGUAGUCCAAAACCUGUUUCUUUAAAGUCAGAUUCUGAUAAAAAGCUUAAAGAACCUAUUUUCAAACCUUUUCAGGUUUCGAAAACUAGCCAGAAGCUUGUCCAUGAAUCAAAAUCAGAUUUUGCUAAAGCCAUUAGAGAACAACUUGAUAGGAUAGAAGCUGCUUCUUCCUCAUCAAGCAAAGUUCAUAUUGCUCCUGAUACUCCCCAAUCUAGCAAGAUUGGAGUAUUGGAGCAAGACCAGGUUUCUAUUGCCUCCUCAGACUUAGAAGCCUUUACCGAAACACCUAUUCCUAAAACCAAUAAAAUCCAUUGGGAGUUAGCUCUUCCUACUUCCAAAUCUCCACCAGAUUUAACUAUAGACAACAGGCCUAGUGCAUUAAAUCAAGCUCGAUAUAAUGCAUCCUCUGUCUAUGAGUGGAAUAUAGAUGGAAUGUCCGAGUACAACAUUCUAGGUGUAUUGCAGCAAAUGACCAUGGCAGCCAAUGCCUAUAAAACCCAAUCAGGAACUUCUGACAAAGCCAUUGCAGAAAUCCUUAUUGCUGGUUUUACUGGUCAACUUAAAGGAUGGUGGGAUCAUCUUCUCACUAAAUUGCAGCAAUUAGACAUCCUUAAUGCCAUCCAAAUCGAUGAGAAUGGUGCUCCCAUUCUUGACGAAUUAAAUAAUCCAAUUCAGGAUGCUGUUGCUACCCUGAUUUUAACCAUUUCUCUUCAUUUCAUAGGUGAUCCUUCUCACCUCAGAGACAAAAAUGCUGAGUUACUACAUAACUUGAGAUGUAGAAAACUUAGUGAUUUCCAAGAUUACAAAACCACUUUCUUUACCAGACUCUUCCUAAGGGAUGAUGCAAAUCAUGUAACUUGGAAGGAAAAAUUCCUUGCAGGUUUACCUACCCUUUUGGGAGAAAAGGUAAGAAAUUCUAUCAAAACCCUUUUUGAUAAUCGUAUUCCCUAUGACGAACUCACCUAUGGUGAAUUAGUCAGUUUUGUCAAUAAAGAAGGUUUAAAGAUCUGUCAAGACUUGAAACUUCAGAAACGUCUAAAGCAAGAGCUUAGGCAAUCUAAGCAAGAAUUAGGCGGGUUCUGCAAGCAAUUCAAUUAUGACCCCUUUAAAGCUUCCACCUCCAAAGACUGUAAUGGUAAGUGUUCUUCAAAACCUUACAAAAAACAUUACAAGUCUAAAAGCCAUAGAAAGCCCUUUCAUGAUUUUAGAAAACUUCCUUAUAAGAAACCUUCGAGGCCUUAUAAGAAACAUAGUUUCUCUAAAAAGAAAGAGUUUAAAGCCAAACCUAAAACCCCUUUCAAUUUUAAAGAUGCUACCUGUUAAAUGUGGUAUGAAAGGUCAUACUGCACGAUUUUGUAAAAUGAACAGGAGACUCCACGAGCUCGGCCUCGAGGAGGAAAUCCUUUCCAAAAUUGCCCCUCUUCUGGUCGAGCUUUCUGAUUCUGAGUCUUCCUGGUCGGGAAAUGAUGACCCUCUUCAAGUCGAUGAACUAUUCGAUUCAGAUAGCUCUACUUCCAGUAAUAGUGAUUCUGAUUCGGAUAAUUCUUAUUUAAAGAAAAUAAAUGUUUUAACCAAAGAUCAAGAGAUUUUCCUUGAACUUGUAAAGCAUAUUUCUGAUCCAAAUCUUCAAAAGGAAUAUCUUGAUAAACUUUUAAAAACCAUGGAUUCAAGCAUUACAGAGGCUUCUUCUUCUAAAAUCCCUAUUGUCAAAAAGAAUUCUUAUGAUUUAACUGAGAUUUUAGAUAAAAAGAAAACAAAGAAGUCUACUCCUAAUAUCCAAGAUCUUCAAAAAGAGAUUAAGGAUAUUAAACUUGAAAUAAAGGAUUUAAAAGAAAAACAAAAAACUGAUUCUGCAACUAUUCAACUCCUUUUACAAAAACAGUUGCAAGAUACUUCCGACAAGGAGGUUGAAUCAGAAAAUGAUGAUGUUGAGCAAAAGAUUGAUAAUAUUGAGUCUAUUCCAAAUGAUUUUCUGUUUGUCUUAAAGCAAAUCACCACCAGAAAAUAUUUGAUUAAAAUUACUUUAAUUUUUUCAAAUGAUUUUGCGAUGGAUGCCAUUGCUCUUUUUGAUACUGGUGCUGAUUUAAAUUGUAUUCGAGAGGACAUUGUUCCUAAAAGGUUUCGUGAAAAAACAAAAGAAAGACUCUCUGCUGCUAAUAAUUCAAAGCUCAAUGUUACUUCCAAAGUUGAAGCAUCUAUUUAUAAUGACAAAAUUGAGUUUAAAACCUCUUUUGUUCUUACAAAUGAUAUACACCAUGCUAUCAUUUUAGGAACACCUUUUAUAAAUUUGAUAACCCCAUAUGCUGUCAACUAUGAUGGUAUAUAUUUUAAAGCAAAAUCCAAAGAACUUGCUUUUCCAUUUAUUGAAAAACCAAAGACUCGAAACCUCAAUAUGGUUAAAGCCUGCUCGGUCUACCAGAACAAAAUCAAUGCUAUUGUAAAGUCUAAACAAGAUGACUUGUUUCAUUUACAAAAGGAUUUAAAUUUUCAAAGAAUUGAGAGUCAAAUACAAAGUGAUUUUAUACAAAGAAAAAUUUCUGAUUUCAAAAGCCUUAUUGAAAAAAAAUUUGUGCUGAUUUACCAAGUGCUUUUUGGAAUAGGAAACAACAUUUGGUAGAUUUUCCAUAUGAAAAUUCUUUUGAUGAAAAGCAAAUACCUACUAAAGCCCGUCCAAUCCAAAUGAAUUCGGAUUUGGAACAGCAUUGUAAAGAAGAAAUUAAUGAUCUUAUUUCCAAAGGUCUUAUUGUAAAAUCCAGGUCACCUUGGUCUUGUGCUGCCUUUUAUGUCAACAAAAAUUCUGAGAUUGAAAGAGGUGUACCUAGACUUGUGAUAAAUUACAAACCUUUGAAUAAAGCUUUAAAAUGGAUUAGGUACCCGAUACCUAAUAAGAAAGAUUUACUUCAAAAACUCUGCUCGGCCUUCAUUUUUUCUAAAUUUGAUAUGAAGUCGGGUUUUUGGCAAAUUCAAAUUCAUCCAAAAGACCGUUACAAAACAGCAUUUACUGUUCCUUUUGGUCAGUAUGAGUGGACAGUAAUGCCUUUUGGUUUGAAAAAUGCACCCUCAGAAUUUCAAAGAAUCAUGAAUGAUAUUUUCAAUCCCUACUCUGAGUUUUGCAUUGUCUAUAUCGAUGAUGUUUUGAUUUUUUCUCAAAGCAUUGAUCAACAUUUCAAACAUCUAAAGACUUUUUAUCUUGCUACAAAGAAGGCUGGAUUAGCCCUUUCCAGUUCAAAGAUUUCAUUGUUUCAAACAAAAGUCAGGUUUCUUGGUCACUACAUUUCCAAAGGAACCAUUACUCCUAUUGAAAGAUCUCUUUUGUUUGCGGACAAAUUCCCAGACAAAAUUUUAGAUAAAACUCAAUUACAAAGAUUUCUCGGUAGUCUAAAUUAUGUUCUUGAUUUCUGCCCUAACAUCAAUAGGAUGUCAAAACCUCUGCAUGAUAGGUUAAAGAAGAAUCCUGUUGCAUGGUCAGAUGAGCAUACUAGAGUUGUUAGAUUAAUAAAGCAGUCUGUUAAAAGCAUUCCUUGUUUGCAUCUUGCAAAUCCUGCAUUUCCUAAAAUUGUUGAAACUGAUGCAUCAGAUUUAGGAUAUGGAGGUAUUUUAAAACAAAAAGAAAAUGAUAAAGAACAGAUAGUCCAAUAUGUUUCUGCUCAUUGGAACGAUUGUCAGAAAAAUUAUUCUACUAUCAAAAAAGAAAUUCUUUCUAUUGUUUUAUGCAUUACUAAAUUCCAAAGUGAUUUGUUAAAUCAAAAAUUCUUACUUAGAAUUGAUUGCAAAGCUGCAAAACAUGUUUUAGAAAAGGAUGUUCAAAACAUUGCAUCAAAACAGAUUUUUGCACGUUGGCAAGCUAUUCUCAGUGUUUUUGAUUUUGAUAUAGAAUUCAUUAAAGGUGAUAAAAAUUCUGUUCCUGAUUUUCUAACUCGGGAAUUUCUUCAAAACAGGUAAUGGCUCCAAAGAAAAAGGACAAAGGGAAAGCACCUGCUUCCCAAGAACUUUCCAAAGAACCUCAUGCAACCCCCUCUAAAGAAAAGCUCCUUUCCUCAGCCAUGCCAAUUAAAUCUUGGAUUGAAUUGGUUGAAGAACAUGAAGCCAAAUACAAAUCCAUUUCUUCUGAAGACCAAGUAAAGCAAUGGAUGAGUUCCAUUACAAAGUCACCCGAGCUUAUGAUAGCCCUACAAAGCCUCUCCCAAAGUCAACCUAAAGAGGAAGAAAAACCCACUUCCAAAGAAAUCUCAAAGCCUUCCUCUCAAAACAUUGUUGUUUCUGGUGAGAGCUCAUCCUCCCAAAUUGUGCUCUCUCAGCCAACACCUUCAAAGAAAACUUCCGAUUGGUUUGAUAAAACCCAUUUUCAAAACAUUAUUUCAAUGGAAGAUGGAUUUUACCAUUCUGAUCCUUUUCAAAGUAUUUCAAAGUUUUUUCCCCCAGGCUGGUUUUUCAAACCAUGAGAUUUGACAAAACCCCAGUCUUAUUAUCACAGUAUUUUGGAAAUUACUGAUUCAGUAAAAUUCAAACAUUUCUUUUUUAGCAAAACCCAUUCUGAGCCGGCCUAUUCAACGGCUACAAUUUUAAAAGUUUUGAGCCCGAACCAGUGGGGUGAUCUGCUCCACAAUUUUAAAACUUUCCCCCUUGAUUUUGAGACCCGUUUGCCACACUGUAGGACUUUCUCCUACUGGGAUUACCAACAGGCCUGGUAUAACACUUUCUUCAUACAAAACCCUAAAAAAUCCCAUUCCUGGUUAUUUUUCUUUAAUUCAAAAAUAACCGUCCAAAGCCUGCCGAACUGGUUUCACCAUUGGUGGAACUAUUUUGGUCCAACCUCAGAUAUCCUUACUCAAAAUGCCCUCCAAUGCCUAAACCUUUUCAAAGCCAAUUAUAAACCUACGGAGUCUGAGAAAAGAUUUCCUCCUUUUCUCUGCUUCUGUACCAAUUUCUUCCUUCCAUGGGUCUGGAUGUGGAGUCUUCGACAUCACACUCAGGAUUCCCAUUUUAUCCUCCAAAGAACCUUCAGAGUCAAAUGGUGGUCCAAAUUUGAUGAGCAGACCAAAUUAACCACCAACCAAGUACAAAACUGGCUUUCUGCCCAAGGCCAUCUACAACCAGCCAUCAAAGAUAUUAAAGCCCAAGGCACUUUCCUCACUCAAAAAUCCAAAGCCCAAGCCCUCCUAGCAAGUGCCAAAACCGAAGAAGAAUACUUCAAAGCAAUGGAACAGCUCCUCCGCUUCUCGAUCCAAGUCCUCAGUUGCAGAUUCUACUGAAGACGACGACGACGAUGAUGACGAGCCAACCGUCUCUCUCGGAGAUAAAAACGAAGAUGACUGUUUCGGCAUUUUCUCUCCAAUAAAGCAUUGUAAAUAAUUAUUUGAUUAUUUACUUAAAAAAAAAAAGUGUAAUUGUUCAUUUCGGGUGGUCCCUUGGACACAAGUGAGAGCGCACAUGUCUCUUCACCCGUAUUGUAUUUCAUUUUGUAUUUCAGUAUUCGUACAAAGUAGUCUUCUGUUCAAAGCUACGGUCAGCCUACUAUUCAAAGCUACGAUCCAAAGGUUACUGUGCACUUAAAAACCCGCUACAAUGAACAGUUUCAAUUUCCAAAGGUUACUGUGCACUUAUAGCUCCGCUACAGUGAACAGUUUACAAAGUUUUGUAUAUAACCCAAGAGGAAGACUUAGACUCCUCACGGGUUUUUAUUUUAAGUUUUCAUUUCUCUCUCUUCUCCUCCUUCUCUCUAAAAAUUCUCUCUAAAGCACGAAGAGCUCAAAGAAAUCCUCUGUUUACGCAAUAGUUCUAUCUUAGAGCUUUGAGUAAUCAGACUAGUUCUUUACCUUCAACAAAUCUUCCCGUCUUUCAAUCUUCCCUUCUGGAAAGAUUUGAAAAAUUGUAAAGCAGCAAAAGCAAAGUGUAUGUCUAGAUCUUUGAUCUAGUUUUAUUUACAAAGCAAUUUCAAUUCAUGUAAUUUAAUUUUAAAGCAAUUUACUUUUCUGCAAUUUCAUUUCAGUAAUUUACUUUAAAGCAUUUUCUUUUACAAAGCAUGUUAGCAGACUGAUCUGUAUCAGAUCUGCCAUAUAAAAUAUACAUUCUUCUGAGGCAAAGAGACCAGAUCUCGAUCCUCAGUCGUAAACUUCUCUCUCCCCCCUUCUUCAGAGCACCAUUUCCGGGAACCGGAUCUGGUACUGUGUAUGUUUUAGAAGCCAACCUUAAUGCAUGUUUAUUUCAGUAAAGCCCUGCUGCUAGGUUUGCUAAAAUCAACCUAACUCAGAUCUGGUAAAGACACUUCUAAAAUUGACGAAUCGCAUUCCAAAGCAAAGUAGAUCUCCAGAUCUACCAAAGAAUUUAAUAAAUAAUCGGUAAAGCACACUAUUCCGGUAUAUCGGCUGGAAACCAGAACGUGCGGGCUAUUGAUCUGUCCUAAGUCAGAUCUGGGUCCAAAGGCAGAUUAAUUUCUGCGUCGAUCCGGUAUAACAACGCCACGUACCAGUCUAGAUCUAAAAUUUUGACCAACCGCGUUCCAAAGCAAAUUAAUUUGAUAAAGAAACGGUAAGUUCUUUUAAAAUCUGACGAAGCUGAUUCUAUUGAUUGUUUAAUUUGAGUUUUUAAUAAUAAAGUAUUUUGAAAGCACAUCCAUCCUUCGAUCCUAUUUCCUUCUGGUAUCAGAGCCUCACCUUACAAAUCUCCAUUAACGGCAAAUAGGGGGAUGAAUCACUGACAUCACCCAAUUCAUAUAUUCAAUUAAUGUAUUCCCACCCCAGUCAGAAACGUGCUACCACAGUUGAUUAGUUAUUAGGGAUAAGGCUUACCGCAAAGAACUGAAUGGCGUUAACUAAAUAAUGAGUUGAAACGGUAUCUGCAAUCGCAUUAAAUGGCAUUGAACCGAAAGGUAGGGUUUAAAUGAAUGUUGGCCUGAGACAAAAGGGCGUGGCAUAUUGGGGUCUUAUGGCUUCGUUUUGUUUCAAUUGAAGGAGGGAAGCUGAGCGAGAGCUUUGAUACGUAAAUUUCAGCUUAAUUUAAGCUAUGGUCUUCUUUCGAUUGAAACAGAGAAAGAUUUUGGGUUAUUAAAGUGAAAGAGAUGGAAUCAUACAAAAAAUUAGCAAAGUGAAAGCGAGGGAAUACAAGAUUUAUUAUGGGUCCUAAGAGCUGAAGGCAAUUCGCCAUGGUUCCGAUAUAUGGAAAACUUUCUUAGCUUUAUCGGUGGUGGAAGUGAGGGUUAGGGCUCGGGUUCGACACAAUGUUGUUGAGAGUGGCUCAAAGUUCAUUGAUUUUAGGUUGCAGCGAGAGAGGGGUUCAUUCAACACUUGUCGAUAUUUG